AGCUCGGUCCUGGUGACCAAUGCGCGUGAACUCCGCCAGGUCCGGAAGGAAGCAACGGUAGCGUUGUUUUUGGGGUACCAGGGUGCCGGGCUAUC
rnacentral:SRP_RNA from 1 species